CAGAACCACGCGUUGUCUGUGUGGUUUACAAGUUUCUUGGCGAUAUGGGGGGAAGUUCCUCACAUACCAACGGAAAAUGGGCUUCAUAUACAUGCUGCUGUCUCAUAAUAUGGCGAAGACGAGUCACCUGAAGGCCUAACUCGCCAUAGAAGACUGAAAGAAUUGUCCUGCAGGAUGCUGUGUCCUGCAAUCCUGUGUGCUGUGCUACAGACGCGUGUGGAGGUCAACCCAAAAUGGGCACAGUCUCACCACAGAAGAGUGAAAGAGGCUCCCAGAAGUGAGACUGAGUGCCUGUUGCAGUAUGACGAGGACGCAGUGACCAGAGACCUUCAGUAGACCCUGCUGGCAUGAUUGGCGUCUGAAGAACAUGAAAUCAACAGCAAUGUUUAUAAUGUUGUACAUACCUGUAUAGUCUGUAUUAAAAGGCAGUACCUGUA